GGGGGCAAGCGUUGUUCGGAAUUACUGGGCGUAAAGGGCUCGUAGGCGGCCAACUAAGUCAGACGUGAAAUCCCUCGGCUUAACCGGGGAACUGCAUCUGAUACUGGAUGGCUUGAGAUUGGGAGAGGGAUGCGGAAUUCCAGGUGUAGCGGUGAAAUGCGUAGAUAUCUGGAGGAACACCGGUGGCGAAGGCGGCAUCCUGGACCAACACUGACGCUGAGGAGCGAAAGCCAGGGGAGCAAACGGG
rnacentral:rRNA from 1 species